GUUAAUGAACUUGUUAAAGUGUAUGCCUUGAAAUCAUAAAAAAGAGUCUAAACUCUAUUAA
rnacentral:tRNA from 1 species